CGUAAGGGGGUGGAAGGUGAGAGGUGAAGGAGACCGGAAGUAAAGGGGGUGAAAGGUGUACGAAGACAGGAAGUGUCAGGGAGUGAAGAGUGAAAAAUGUAGAAGAGCCAGAUUGUCACGGGCUAUCCUCAGUUGCAAACACCCAGAGUGGAAAAAGCUAGAAAUAUAAGCCUGUUCUUUGGCGAUAGGGAGAGAGGGAGACCCUGAGGAGUCGACUGGAUGUGCCGUGUGCGGCGGCCGGGCCUACUCGCCACCCUCGGGAGGGCCCCCAGCGAGCGUGGAGGACGGAACCCCCGCAAUCACCGGAGGUGAUAACCGCUACAGGGAGGAACAGCCCUGAAAGACAGUGGUGAAGGGGAAGCCUCCCAGUAGACACAUUUUGGCCAACCUGGUUGUGUGCUUCGGAGGAAAGGUGGUUUGGGGUCAAGGUCGACACUGACUGAUGAGUCAUGGGUCAUAGAUUCGCUGGCUGGUCAGGAGCCUUGGAUGGUCGAGAUCGGAAGGCUUGUGAGCAGGAAGUCUGGGAAAGAGUUACAUGGAGAUGGAAGUCCCUGGAUGAGCAUCAUGUGACGCUACAAGGUAUGGAAGUUCCCAGCUGGGGCCCCCACUGCAGAGCACCCUAGCAGGGGUGCUUGCUAAUCACGCUAAUGAAGGGAUCGAUCUUUCCCGCGAAUGUCGGUCAGCCCGUUUCCCCUCUCACCGCAGUGCAUCCUCAGUAAGUACCCUUCGCUAGGACCCACACGGGUAUCAUCUCCAUUGAGGUCUCAAACUGCUAAAUACUAGCAAAGACCAACCCCGAAUCCCCGAGGUUGCACCUUCCGGAAGCUGGAGGACCAGGCCGGUAACUUGUAUUGCUUCUUCAUGGAGAAAUCUGCUCUCUUAGGAGCGGGGUCCUGUUCCGGGUCCAGACUUGCUUUUCUUUACUGGCAGCGUGCCAGCACCACCACUUGGAGAUUUUCAGAGUGCUCUGCUCAUUGUCAUGGUAACCCACACAACAUCAUCUCCAGCCAAGAAACUCGUUAUACGGCAAAAGGCAUGUGGCACUGAGUUCAUGCCCAUGGAAUUCCCUGGCCUGUGCACAGCUCCCGAGAUACUCAGUGGCACUUGUGUGGAUGGACUGAGGAAAUGGCCUGCUGAGGGCUCAGCUGGGGCACCAGCGGGAGUAUGUGGGAUCUCUCCGGGAGACACCACAUGUAUUCGGUGCCGUUUCCCCCAUGGCCAGAAUACACAGGUUCUGUACUUUGACAGGCUGCCCCUGGAGUCUCGAACUGGUCUGGAGCGUAGCCUGGGAAGGAAAUGUUGGAGAUCUGAAGAGAAGAUGUGACAUAGUCACUUAGGUUUGUUAGAUGUGCGCAAGGACCAGGGUGGAGGCCGAAGGGGCCCCCGUCGCUUUUUCACCAACCAGUCCUCUUACAGAACGUUCGCUUCCCCCGUAACGCUGGGCUCAGCGCUCGAGAAGGAAGGUUCCCCGGAGAGCACAGUCUUGAUCCCGUUAAACCGGAAGGUCAGGUCGGUGACUUGUGGGCUUCUUGACCAAGCCCGAAUCGAAUGGGGUUCACUGUACUGGCCGGGAUAAGAAGGACUCUACCUGAACCAGAGGACUCGCCAGAGCACGGCAGGGUCUCCCCGUCCAAAAACCGGCCAAUAGGAAACCGCGGUGACUCAGGGAGGACAGGACAGCUAAGAAUUUGGAUUCCGUGGGAAUGAAGAUUUGCACCACCCUGAGAAGUGAAACCCAGAGGGCCGCAGUGCUGCCGAGAGGUAAGGAAGUCGGUGCAGGCAGCGAGAGGAGGGAGCCAAGAGUGCCACCCCAGGUCUGGAACCAGCAGCAAGUGGGCUCUUUCGCCCCCUUUCCCUGUUGCCUUCCGCGAAGAACAAUGUUGGCCACUAACGUCGUCGUUUGGAUUCGCGUUGCAAGUAUGACGCAGCUGACACUACCCACUGCAGUCGAUGCCUGAUGGGACUUGGUGUUUCCCCAGGGUGGGGGCCACAGGAUCCAGUCGUCGAAAUAAAGGACAAGGACUCUCUCUGCCCCUCUGGAUUCAUUUUCCAUCCUUUUCUCGCCUGCUGGGUGUCCAGGAGGCUGACUGCUAUAGAAUCCUCUCUCCAGACCCUCUCAUCUUCUGGCCUCCAGUUGGAUUUGACCAAUGGAGGCAUGAGCAGGAGAUCAUAGGUUUGGAGGAAACAUAGAUCAGGGGAUUUGUCACGGUUUUGACAGUGCUUGCUUGGCCCUGAAGCCCCGGGGCGGGCAGACCCUCUUCCACAGCCCUGACCCCCACAUGGUAAUGGGAGCAUCAUCCCUUCCUUGUCCCCUUGGUCCCCCUUUGGUGCUUGUAUCUAGGUGUCUUAUUAUCAUUCAUUAUUUUCCCUUAGCCCUGCCCGUGUCUCAUAAAGAGGCCCUUCAUUAACUUUCUUCAAUUAAACCUUCUUUCUGUGCCAUAUACUUCCUGCUGGUGGCCUCACUGAUCCUGGGACCUUUAAGUAAUUCACCUUCACUGAAGCAUAAAGUUCAUGGUGGGAGGAAAUGGUGAGAAAUGAAGUUGUACAGGGAGGGUGGUCAAUUAUGAGAAGCUUUGUGCACUGGGAUCGUGUAAGCUUCACGAGGCAUUGAGCAAACUAUCUAACCUCUUUUGCCUCUGUUUCACCGCCUAUAAAAUAAGGACAAUGACAGGAUGUAUCUUUCGGGUGACCAUGAAACAUUGAAAAUAGUGCCUGGCACAGAAAGUGAUCAACAGCAUCAGGGACAGUGAUGCACUGCAAGGUUUUAAGCAAGGAAGUGACCGGGUCAGAUGUGGUGAUCCAAAAAGCUGUUCUGGGGGAAAUGUGGAGAAGACAUGGGGUUUGUAAGUGACCAGCAAGUCUGGAGGCAAGACUGGAGGCAAGAACACCAGUAACGAGACUACUGCAAUGUUCUUAGCAAAAUACAUACAUACAGAAUAAAAUUGAGAUGUACCAUCCAAAAAAGAGACCAAGAAAGAAAAAGAUACAGAAUACAAGAAAUGGGACUUCUGGCACAAUAUCCGGGACCUUUAGGUAGUUCAGUUUUGCGAAAGCAUAACGUGCAAGGUGAGGGUGAUGGUAGAGAUGUACCCCCUCCCGCUCCAGACCUACAGCGACUGAGUUCGAGAGAAUCCUCCUAGCUUGCUGUCACUCUCUCCAGCACCCCUGAAGUCUUCAUUCUUGAUACCUUGAAUGUCCACAUAGAGGAAACUUCCAGCACCCUGGCCUCCGUUUCUUAAGCCUCUCCUCCUCCAGUGACUCUGUCCUCUAUCCCCUGCCUCAGCCACUCAUUUUCAUAGUCUUACCCUAGACCUCAUUGUUACCAAUAACUGCAGCCUUCCCAUGCCUCCGUCACCAUCCGUAUCUUCUUCUCUGCUCACUCCUCCAAAGUCUUCUCCCCUGUCCUCAACGUUAGCUGAUGAGCGUGCCCCCUACGUCACCGAGGAAAUAGCAGCAGUGAGCAGAGAGCUCCCAUAGGCCCCUGCA